rnacentral:lncRNA from 1 species
UAACCGGAUUGUUGAUGAGAAUGGCGUUUGAAUAUAAGGCUUUUCCAAGUACCUCCAGAUCGAUGCCAUUUACGUUUAUGAAUGGCUUUACCCCAUUGAGGGUUGGGUUGCAAGUCACUCUAAACCAAGGUUCCGUAUAGCAGGUGCUAUGGAUUCCAAAAGGGGAUGGAAUUGUAAUAUUUCCACAUGCUUCUUUACCACAGGCAGGUUCUUGAGAUUCUGCUGCUUGUAAUAUUGGGCACAACAUGAAGAGGAGUAGGAGGAUGAGGUAAAGCGGUAAGUGAAAACCCAUUUGCGUUGUUAUUUUGUUUGAGGGAAAUGAAUGAAGAUUUAGAUAGGGUUACUGUAGAAGUCGGGUUUUAAAGAAACAAAAGCAGGGUUAAGUAGCACCACGAGAUUGUAAAUUAUAUUUGUUAAAGUAGCACCACUACUCUUUUUCUUUUUAAAAUUACCAUCACUACUACAUGUCAAAAUAAAUUAUAAUUUUUUACAUCUAAAUUUAGUAAUAUGAUAAAAAAAUAUCUUUAUUUAUUUAAAAAAAAUUUAAAUUCGUGCUUUUAUAUAUACUACUUGUUUCAAAUUUAUAUAGGGUUCACUUCUAUAAAUAUAUUCAUUUCUACCCCACCACGUCAAUCCAACGAGCCUCUUAUCCAUUCUUAUUCGAUCAUGAAAGAGGUAAGACAAAAUAAAAAUACUCACAUUAAAUUUAGAGAAAAUCAAAUUCGAUUUAAUAACUUCCAUAUCUAAUAUUUUACGGCUAAAUUAUAUUCCUUUCCUGCCCCAAUCAAGAAAUAGGACCAACUAUUGGACAAAUGUGUUACGAAGCAAAAUUUUCUUCCGUCAAUGUGCUGUCUCAUUUUGUAUCCCUACAAUCAUUUCUUGGCAAGUGUAUUAAAAUUACUUUUAAAAUAAAAUUUGAAAGUAAAGGUUCAAAAAAUAUAUAAAAUUUAAUAAUUUCCAACACUUGUAUCAAAUUGUAGAUAUAUUAUAUAAAUUACACUUUAUAAAUGAAUAAACAAAUAAAACUCCGAACAUCACAGAUUUAAUAAUAUACUGCACAUUUCCUAAAAAAAUAAUGUACUCCACAUGUUACAAUGCAUUUAAAUGUGAUAUUUCAAAAUCUGAUACUUCUUUACCACAGGUAGGUUCUUGAGAUUCUGCUGCUUGUAAUAUUGGGCACAAGAGGAAGAGGAGUAGGAGGAUGAAGUAAAG